AAUUAGUUGGCAGCUCUCAAAGCCCCGAAUGCUUAAACAGAGUGAUGAAUGCUGCUAGGAGUUCCAGGAGGCCCAUAAAGAAGACAACAUGGAAUCAAGAGAUAAAUCAAGCUGGGGUCAUCUGGUGGUUGAUGGCUUUGGCACAUUGACAGUUUUCAUAUGAUAAGAAUCUGUGGUUCUCCCAACCACAGUACAUACGAAGAAAUACCCAAUCCACCUUGACCCAGAACUUUCAAGUGGCAUUGGAACAGUCUAACAGUUGCCAAUUGCGGGAAAUAUUACCCAUUUACCAGCCAGUCCCGGAGGCCUCUGUAAUAAGAAAGUGGGUAGGCCUUAAACCAGCACAGAGGAAGUGAAGCUACAAAUCUCCAAGAUGCUAGAGGGCGUGGAACACCCCUUGUGAACAGUCGAGGACAGUAUAAGGAUUUCAACUGCAAGUUCACAGCAGUUCCACUAGGAUGAUCCGUGGUGUGGAGAGACGGUCUUAUGAGCAAAGGCUAAACAGGUUGGGACUCUACUCACUGGAGUUCAGAAGAAUGAGAGGUGAUCUCAAUGAAGCACAGGCUUGACAGGACAAUUUUUCAGACAU